rnacentral:rRNA from 1 species
GACGAACGCUGGCGGCGUGCUUAACACAUGCAAGUCGAACGGAAAGGCCCUGCUUGCAGGGUACUCGAGUGGCGAACGGGUGAGUAACACGUGGGUGAUCUGCCCUGCACUUCGGGAUAAGCCUGGGAAACUGGGUCUAAUACCGGAUAGGAGCCAUUUUUAGUGUGAUGGUUGGAAAGUUUUUUCGGUGUAGGAUGAGCUCGCGGCCUAUCAGCUUGUUGGUGGGGUAAUGGCCUACCAAGGCGGCGACGGGUAGCCGGCCUGAGAGGGUGGACGGCCACAUUGGGACUGAGAUACGGCCCAGACUCCUACGGGAGGCAGCAGUGGGGAAUAUUGCACAAUGGGCGCAAGCCUGAUGCAGCGACGCCGCGUGGGGGAUGACGGCCUUCGGGUUGUAAACUCCUUUCGCUAGGGACGAAGCUUUUUGUGACGGUAUCUAGAUAAGAAGCACCGGCUAACUACGUG